rnacentral:lncRNA from 1 species
AUGGAGCUUCUGCUCUUACUGAAUCCAAAAGUCAUCGCAGCUGUAUUUUGUGAUUAUACUAGGAGCUGUUUAGUCAGAGAAGGAACGAUGAGCCCUCAGGUGUAUGUGGACAAGGAACAACCAGCUUUGUGGGGACCCAGCACUACGAAGUAGCUGGUAAGAGGAGUCCUGAUGUUUCAUUCUCUGCCACCCCAGAGGGAGCCCCAAUUCCAAGAGGAACUUGCUUGAACCCAAAGGUGGAAAAAGAGUGGUAACAAGAGGUUGGUGACAUAUUCUGUUUCUCCUAUGUGGGGAGGAGGUGACUGGGCAUGGGGCUGAAAGUAUUUUCUUGGGCAGGGAUACUCAAGUGUGGUCAAUAGUAUAGACUGGCGUCUGUCUGGUUUUUGAUUGAGAGUGUUUAAAAACUUUAAAAGCUGAGUGUGGUGGCACAUACCUGUGAUCCUAGCCCUGCAAAAACAAACAAAGUCCAGGCUUUUGGAGCUUUUGGAGCCAACAGCCAGCGUUAAGGUUCUACUCUUUGUGAGCUGUGUGACCAUGGGUUAAGUAACCUCUCUGGCCUUUAGUUUUCUUGUUUUGUUUUGUUUUUUGUACCGGGGAUCGAACUCUGGUCCUUCUGCUUGCACAGCAGGUGGUGAAACCACUGAGCUAAAUCCCUGGCCCUUUAGUUUUCUUAUCUGUUAAAAAAGGAAGAUGAGCUGGGGGUGGUAGUGGAUGCUUGUAAUCCCAGCACUAGGGAGGUUGAGACAGAAGAAUUUCCAGGAGCUCAAGGCCUGCAUGAGCUACAUAGUAAGUUCAAGGCCAAGCUGACUACAUAGCAAGACCCUGUUUCAAACAAUCAAAACCAAAACCAAACCAAACAAAACAAAAACAAAAAAACUACAGUUUUUAUUUAUUUACUUUUUUGUUUUUGAGAUAGGACCUCCCUAUGUAGUUCAGGCUGGCCUUGAAUUCACUAUGUUGCCCAGGCUGGCCUCAAACUCGCAGCAAUCCUCCUGGCUAAGCCUCCCAAAUUCUGGGAUUACAGUCUUGUCCCACCAUGCCUGGCUAGCACAACAUGCUUUACUAGCAAUGAAACCAAAUAAUUUAUUUGUUGAAACCGAGUAAUUUUGUGACUUUCGAGUCUAAUAAUAAAAAUAACAUUUUAUAUAAUUUUUAAAAUUUCACUUUUCUUGUAAGCCAUUUAUAUCACAUUUUAUAAAAGACUCAGUCUAUGAUGAAGUGGAAGUUAAAAACAGUCAAAAAGAAGUUGGGCAUGGUGGUACAGGCAUGUAAUACCAGCUACUUGGAGUCUUAGAGGCAUGAGGACUGAAAGUUUGAGACCAGCCUAAGCCGGGGCUGGUGGUGCACAUCUGUAAUCCCAGCACUCUGGAGGCCGAGGCAGGAGGAUAGCUUGGAGUUUGAGGCCAGCCUGAACUACAUAGUGAUAUCUUGUCUCCAAAAAAAAAAGAGAGAGAGAACAGCCUGGGCAAUUUAGUGACACCCUAUCUCAAAAUAAAAUUAAAUAAAUAAAUAAAAAGGUCUGGAGAUUUAGCUCAGCUCUACCUGGGUUUAAUUCCCAGUACUGUAAAAAGAAAAUAAAAUAAGCUGGGCAAGAUGACACGUGCUUGAAAUCCCAACACUCUGGGAGGCUGAAGCAGGAGGAUGGCAAGUUUGAGCCCAGCCUUGCAAUUUAGUGAUUUAGUGAGACCCUGCCUCAAAAUAUACGAUUGAAAAAAAAAAAGGACUGGGGCAGAGGAUGUAGUCCAGUGUGAAGGCCCUGGGCUCAAGAUUCAAUCCAUAGUACCCCAAGGAAAAGAAAGAAAAGGAAAGAAUAAAUUUUUUUUCGUACCGGGAAUUGAACUUGGGACCUUAUGGUUUAGAGGCACCACUGAGCUAAAUCCCCAGCCCCCGACAGAAAAGAAUAAAUGUUUAAGAUGAUGGAUACGGUCAUUACUCUGAUUUGCUCCUUGUACAUCGUAUACAUGUAUUAAAAUAUCACACUAUGUCCCAUUAAAAGCAAACAAACACAAAUAAAAAAUACUCUGGUCUUCCAGCAUGAUUUGAUCUUGGUUUUUUUUUUUUUGCUUGUUUGUUUGUGUUUUGAGACAGGCUCUAACUAUAUAGCCCAGAUUGUCCUCCAACUUUUGAUCCUCCUGCCUCAGCCUCCCGAGUAGUUGGUGUUGUGUGUACCAUCACACUUAGCUUACUUUCUUUUUUUAGCAUUUUCAAAUCAUUCUGGGAAAGCCAGGAAUGGUGGUGGAUGUCCAUAAUCUAAGCACAUGGGAGGCUGAGGCAGGAGGAUUGCAAGUUUGAGACCAUCCUGAGCAAUGUAUUGAAACUGUCUCAAAAAAUAAAAUAAAAUAUAUCUCAGCCAUAAAGAAGAACGAAUUCAUGAGCCAGGGAUUUAGCUCAGUGGUUCUGCCGCCUGGCCAGCAAGCACAAGGACCUGAGUUCGAUCCCUGGUACCAAAAAAAAAAAAAAAAAGAAGAAUGAAUUCAUGUCAUUUGCAAGAAAGUAGAUGGAUUUUGAGAUCAUAAUGUUAAGUGAAAUAAGUCAGACACAGAAAGUUAAAUAGCUUAUGAUUUUUGUUAUAUGAAAACCCCAAAAUAUAAAUAAACUAGAGUAAAACAGAGGCAGAUUUCUUGGAGGAGGGCAAGUGGGUCAGGAGAAGGGUUGAAAGGGGAGGGAAAGGAGGAAAAAAAAGGGAUCAAAAAUGAUCAAGAUAUAUAUGUACAGGGCUGGGGGUUUAGCUCAGUGAUUUUGCUGCCUCCUUUGGAAGUGCAAGAUCCUGAGUUCAAUCUCCGGUACUAAAAAAAAAAAAAAAGAUAUAUAUGUACAAACUCCCCCAAAAGCAUGUAAAUAUCAUGUAUGGCAAACAUAUACUAAUAAAAAUGGGGAAAAUGUAAUAUGAGAGUGGAAAAAUAUAAAUAAAUAAAUAAAUAAAUAAGGCUGGGAAUGUAGCUCAGAGGUAGAGCACCCCUGGUUUGAUCCACAGGGCUCGUACACACACGCACUCGCGCGCGCACACACACACUCACUCUCAGGCCAGGCACAUGGUGUAUGCCUGUCACCCCAGGAGUAUGGGAGGCUAGGACAGGAAGAUCACAAAUCUGACUCCAAUCUGAGCAACUUAGUGACUCAGCAAGAUAUGAACAAAGAAGGGAUGGAGGGGUUGGGGAUUUAGCUCAGUAGUUGCACUGCCUGCUUCAAAAGUGCAAGGUCCUGAGUUCGAUCCCCCGUACCAAAAAAAAGGGAUGGAGAUGUAUCUCAGUGUAAAGACCCUGGGUUCAAUGCCCACUGCCCCUCCCCCCAAAAAACCACCCAGCAGCACUGUUCUAAAAACAGCCCUGGGGCUGGGGAUGUAGUUAAGCAAUGAGAGCAACGACAUAGGAUGUGUGAAGAAGCCUUGUUUUCAAUCCACAACACUGCUAAACCCUGUAAAUAAAUGAACCUCAGCUCUGAUACCUCCCUGAACAUUAGAAUCUCUUGGGUUUAUAUUUUUAAAAUCACCAUUAUCGGGCCCCACCCCAUGGCAACUAAAUCAGAAUCUCUGGAGGGGUUGAACUCAGACCUGGAAAUUUUGUGAGAAAUCCUC